UCACACGUUGGUCACGACGACGUUGAUUUUGAAGCCUGGCCUUUGCUCUUUAAACCCAGUACUUUUCCGAAGGCGGUAAGUACAGUGAAGCAGGAUGUCAUCAUCACCACAGAGGAAGAGAAAAGAGCUCAUAUCCAAGCUUUCCUAGAGAACAUGUCACCUACAGACAAAGUCAUUGUCUUUGUAAGCAGAAAAGCAGUUGCUGAUCAUUUAUCAAGUGACCUGAUUCUUCGACAACUAUCAGUAGAGUCUUUGCAUGGCGACAGAGAACAGAGCGAUUGAGAAAAAGCAUUAGAGAACUUUAA